UGCCCAAGUGAGGCGGAGCGGUUACUUAUUGAUCUCCUCAGCCUCUGAGUUCUGACUUCCUGGGUGGGGUUUUCGCUAAAAGUCGGGUAACCCACUGCAGAACAGUACACUCAUGGCUCAAUGGUGAAACAACACACAUGUGAGUGACAAAACAUGGAAAUCAGAAAAGGAAUAUAAAUAGAAAGAUUCCGAGACAAAUUCCUCAGCAGAGAGACGGCAGUCUUUUUCACACUUGGAUCACCAACAUGCAGCAUCUUUCGUGUGUGCUGAAGGCCAUUUUCCUUCUGGACAACUGUCUGAGCUACUGAUGUUGGCAUCUGUUUUGUGAGACAUGUCCUAUAAAUACUACUAUAUUUCAUUUUGGGGUAAAAUUUCUAAGUUUCUGUAGAUUACUAGAGAUUGUAAUAUAUAAGAUGUUUAUAUAAGAUGUAAAUAUGUUUAAAAAGCUAGCUUCAAAUUCUUAUUAAGUUUUCAAUUACUGGAUAAAGACAGUUUAUUCAGUAUUUUAAAAUAAAAAUAUUGGAUUUGGUUAGCUACAAUGUUUUUUGCAUCAGUUUAGCCAAGAUGGUAAAGAGUCUGCCUACAGUGCGGGAGAGCUGGGUUUGAUCCCUGGGUCUGGAAGAUCCCCUGCAGA